UACGAAGGGGGCUAGCGUUGCUCGGAAUCACUGGGCGUAAAGCGCACGUAGGCGGAUUGCUAAGUCAGGGGUGAAAUCCUGGAGCUCAACUCCAGAACUGCCUUUGAUACUGGUGACCUUGAGUCCGGGAGAGGUGAGUGGAACUGCGAGUGUAGAGGUGAAAUUCGUAGAUAUUCGCAAGAACACCAGUGGCGAAGGCGGCUCACUGGUCCGGUACUGACGCUGAGGUGCGAAAGCGUGGGGAGCAAACAGG
rnacentral:rRNA from 1 species